AAUAUUGGACAAUGGGGAAACCCUGAUCCAGCCAUGCCGCGGGUGUGAAGAAGGUCUUCGGAUUGUAAAGCACUUUAUGUUGGGAGGAAGGGUUGUUGGCUAAUAUCUAGCAAUUUGGACGUUACUGACAGAAUAAGCACCGGCUAACUCUGUGCCAGCAGCCGCGGUAAUACAGAGAGUGAAAGGGUUAAUCGGAAUUACUGGGAGUAAAGGGAGCGUAGGUGGUUCAGUAAGAUGGGUGUGAAAGCCCCGGGCUUAACCUGGGAACUGGUUUCAUAACUGAUAAGAUAGAGUACGGUAGAGGGUAGUGGAAUUUCCUGUGUAGCGGUGAAAUGGGUAGAUAUAGAAAGGAACACCAGUAGCGGAGGCGACUACCUGGACUGAUACUGACACUGAGGUGCGAAAGCGUGGGGAGCAAACAG
rnacentral:rRNA from 1 species